AGCCAACCAGCUAGCCUCACCCUAAAAACAACAAUAUAACAUUAAUUAAACCCUAAUAACACAACCCCCCCAAAAAACAAACCAUUUUACCCCCCAAGUACGGGCGACCGAAAAGGA
rnacentral:rRNA from 1 species